rnacentral:rRNA from 1 species
GACGAACGCUGGCGGCGUGCUUAACACAUGCAAGUCGAACGGUGAAGCGCCUUCCUUUUUGGUGGGUGUGGAUGAGUGGCGAACGGGUGAGUAACACGUGAGUAACCUGCUCCCUCCUUCUGGAUAACCGCAUGAAAGUGUGGCUAAUACGGGAUAUUCUGGGUCUGUCGCAUGAUGGGUCUGGGAAAGAUAUUGUUUCGGUGGGGGAUGGGCUCGCGGCCUAUCAGCUUGUUGGUGGGGUGAUGGCCUACCAAGGCGGUGACGGGUAGCCGGCCUGAGAGGGUGGGCGAUAACAGUGGGGAUGCAAGGCCGAGAAGACUACGGGAGGAAGCAGCGGUGAAGAUUAGUGCACGGUGGGCAGAAUGAUGAAGCCGCGCCGCGGCGGGGGAGAUGGAGGUCGUGUUGUUGUGAACCUCUUUCGGGAGUGAAACGCGGCUGCUUAAUUUGUGGGUGUGUUGACGGUAGCCGAAGAAGAAGCACCGGCUAACUACGUG